UUAAGGAAUUAGGAGUAGUUGAGUCUAACCCAUUUCUUUCCACACCGUUGAAACCUUGGGAGAAGGAUGUUUCUGCUGUUGUGUUACCUGAAAAGUUAAAAAACAAUAUUUGUUUGAUGGAGGCAUUUGCACCUGCUAUUGAAGCUGCAAAGGAAGGUGGCCUUGUUGACACUGAUAGUGGAGAUAGUGAGAGGAGGUUGCUUCCUGAUAAGAGGCCUGCUGUGAAUUUUAAAUUUAAAACUGGGAAGAAGUUAUUAGGUGAGCCUUUGGAUUUGAGUCUUUCAAGAAAGGGUGGAGGGAGAGCAAGGAAUUGGUUAGGGCGAGAGGAGGAGAGGGAUGAUAAGAAGAGGAGAGCAGAGAGAGCAUUGGUUAGUGCGGGAUGACGAGAGGGAUGAUAAGAAGAGGAGAGCAGAGUAUAUACUAAGACAGUCUAUGGAAAACCCACAGGAACUCACCCAGUUGUAAAGUAAUUCAUUGACCGACUAGCUUAUUCAGCAAUGGCUGUAGUAGUGGGCUAUGGGGGCAUAUUGCAUGGAUAUUAUGAGAUUCUGUUGUUAGUCCCUUCUAUUCCUAUUAACAA
rnacentral:misc_RNA from 1 species